ensembl:lncRNA
GCCUAAUGGGGUCUGACCUCACCCUGUUUGGAGGUGGCCUUGUAAGAGCAAGAGCAAGGUCCACCAGAGAACAUCUGUUAACCUCUUCCCCAGCUCUUAGAGAAAAGAGCUGGAACCACAAAUUUACAGACACUGCUGAGGCCUGGGACCACCCAGUGGGGAGAUCUCUGGUGGAGGGAGCAGAGGAAGGAAAGAGGAAGGAUAUCAAAGAGUUGCAGAGUCAGAGGAGAAGGGAUGGCCCCGAGAGCACUGACAAUGUGUGUGGUAUGGUCUCUGCCCAGGCCAGCAGCAAGGGAAUGGAGGAGGACUUCCCUCUCUGCACAAGAAGUGAAUCUGGAGAAGAGACACCUGGCGUAUUUAGAGAGCCAAUGGCUCCUUCAUCUCCAAAGGAAUCUUGGGAACUUGCUGCCAUACAGGAUGGUGAUCAGUUGGACUGCUGGAAUGCACAGGUUGAUUCCCUAAGAUUAUCUUUGGGCUUUGGGGACAUUUGCAUCACAUGUUAAAAACUGGUGAAAAUUCAUUUAAUUUUUUAAUUUUUAAUUUUUUUCUUUUGUCCUUUUAGGGCUGCACCUGUGGCAUAUUCCCAGGCUAGGGGUCUAAUGGGAGCUGUAGCUGCUGGCCUAUGCCAGAGCCACAGCAACGCCAGACCCGAGCUGUGUCUGUGACCUACACCACAGCUCAUGGCGAUGGCAGAUCCUUAGCUCACGGCGAUGCCGGAUCCUUAACCCACUGAGCCAGGCCAAGGAUCAAAGCCGCAACCUCAUGGGUCCUAGUUGGAUUCCUUUCCGCUGCACCAUGACAGGAACUCCUGAAAAUUUAUUUUUAUUUUAAAAUUUCUUACAAGUAUUUCAUCUGUCAUGAGAGAAAAUAAAAAAUUCCAAAGGGAAAAAUGCACACAUUGCUGUGCUCCAUGUCCGAAAAAGCAAAGUGAAUACUUAUCUGCUGCCAAUAUGCUUAAUUAGGGUAGACAAGGGAGGAAACAUUUAAAAUUAUGGUUUUGAAAAAAGCCACUGAAGUAAAUAGGCAUGACAUUGAGUGGUCAGACAUCUAUUCCCAAAUUUUUUUUUUUUUUUUUUUUU